rnacentral:rRNA from 1 species
UACGAGGGGGGCGAGCGUUGUUCGGAAUUAUUGGGCGUAAAGGGUGCGUAGGCGGUUUGGUAAGUCUUAUGUGAAAUCUAUGGGCUCAACUCAUAGACUGCAUGAGAAACUGCCGGGCUUGAGUAUGGGAGAGGUGAGUGGAAUUCCUGGUGUAGCGGUGAAAUGCGUAGAUAUCAGGAGGAACGCCUGUGGCGAAAGCGGCUCACUGGACCAUAACUGAUGCUGAUGCACGAAAGCUAGGGGAGCAAACAGG